GUGGUAAUGCCGGAUGUUCCACAUGAUCGCAUGUGAUUGUGGGAAAGAUUCUAUCGGCGUGGGAUGGGGUCGCGUCCUAUCAGCUUGUUGGUGAGGUAACGGCUCACCAAGGCUUCGACGGGUAGCCGGCCUGAGAGGGCGACCGGCCACAUUGGGACUGAGAUACGGCCCAGACUCCUACGGGAGGCAGCAGUGGGGAAUAUUGCACAAUGGGCGCAAGCCUGAUGCAGCGACGCCGCGUGAGGGAUGGAGGCCUUCGGGUUGUAAACCUCUUUUGUUUGGGAGCAAGCCUUCGGGUGAGUGUACCUUUCGAAUAAGCGCCGGCUAACUACGUGCCAGCAGCCGCGGUAAUACGUAGGGCGCAAGCGUUAUCCGGAUUUAUUGGGCGUAAAGGGCUCGUAGGCGGCUCGUCGCGUCCGGUGUGAAAGUCCAUCGCUUAACGGUGGAUCUGCGCCGGGUACGGGCGGGCUGGAGUGCGGUAGGGGAGACUGGAAUUCCCGGUGUAACGGUGGAAUGUGUAGAUAUCGGAAAAAAACACCA
rnacentral:rRNA from 1 species